rnacentral:RNase_P_RNA from 2 species
GGUGGAUGCUCGUGGUGCCGCGGUGCUUUGAGACAGACUCACGGCCGGCGAUCGCUGAGUUCAAUGGGUGAGGUGGGGCAGCGCCCUACAACCCAAUUCAGACUACUCUCCCCCGGA